AGAGUUUGAUCCUGGCUCAGGAUGAACGCUAGCUACAGGCUUAACACAUGCAAGUCGAGGGGCAUCAUGAUCGAAGCUUGCUUUGAUUGAUGGCGACCGGCGCACGGGUGCGUAACACGUAUCCAAUCUACCCAUGGCUCGGGGAUAGCCUUUCGAAAGAAAGAUUAAUACCCGAUGGUCUCCUUUCAGGCCAUCCUGUUAGGAGUAAAGAUUCAUCGGCGAUGGAUGAGGAUGCGUCCGAUUAGGUAGUAGGCGGGUAACGGCCCACCUAGCCGACGAUCGGUAGGGGUUCUGAGAGGAAGGUCCCCCACACUGGAACUGAGACACGGUCCAGACUCCUACGGGAGGCAGCAGUGAGGAAUAUUGGUCAAUGGGCGCGAGCCUGAACCAGCCAAGUAGCGUGAGGGAGGACGGCCCUACGGGUUGUAAACCUCUUUGUACGGGAAUAAAGUGCGGGACGUGUCCCGUUUGUAUGUACCGUACGAAUAAGCAUCGGCUAAUUCCGUGCC
rnacentral:rRNA from 1 species